rnacentral:piRNA from 1 species
UCAUGCUCAGAGGCCCUGUGGGAUU